CCAAUCAUUAGUUGUUGCUGCCAGG
rnacentral:piRNA from 1 species